AUAUGCCCUGGGCCACACACGUGCUACAAUGGCCGGUACAGAGGGAAGCGAAGGAGCGAUCCGGAGCGAAUCCCAAAAAGCCGGUCUCAGUUCGGAUUGCAGGCUGCAACUCGCCUGCAUGAAGGCGGAAUCGCUAGUAAUCGCGGAUCAGCAUGCCGCGGUGAAUGCGUUCCCGGGCCUUGUACACACCGCCCGUCACACCACGAGAGUCUGCAACACCCGAAGCCGGUGGCCCAACCCGAAGAGGGAGGGAGCCGUCGAAGGUGGGGCAGAUGAUUGGGGUGAAGUCGUAACAAGGUAGCCGUACGGGAACGUGCGGCUGGAUCACCUCCUUUCUAAGGGGA
rnacentral:rRNA from 1 species